GAUGAACGCUAGCUACAGGCUUAACACAUGCAAGUCGAGGGGUAGCAGGGUAGCAAUACCGCUGACGACCGGCGCACGGGUGAGUAACACGUAUCCAACCUUCCCAUCACUCGGGGAUAGCCUUUACGAAAGAAAGAUUAAUACCCGAUAGUACUUUUUUGAGGCAUCUUGAGAAAGUUAAAGAUUUAUUGGUGAUGGAUGGGGAUGCGUUCCAUUAGAUUGUUGGUGAGGUAACGGCUCACCAAGUCUUCGAUGGAUAGGGGUUCUGAGAGGAAGGUCCCCCACAUUGGUACUGAGACACGGACCAAACUCCUACGGGAGGCAGCAGUGAGGAAUAUUGGUCAAUGGGCGAGAGCCUGAACCAGCCAAGUAGCGUGAAGGAUGAAGGUCCUAUGGAUUGUAAACUUCUUUUAUAGUAGAAUAAAGUGAUCCACGUGUGGAUUUUUGUAUGUAUACUAUGAAUAAGGAUCGGCUAACUCCGUG
rnacentral:rRNA from 1 species